UACGAAGGGGGCUAGCGUUGCUCGGAAUCACUGGGCGUAAAGGGCGUGUAGGCGGGUAGAUAAGUCGGGCGUGAAAUCCCUAGGCUCAACCUAGGAACUGCCCUCCAAACUGCUUCGCUUGAGACCGGGAGAGGUGAGUGGAAUUCCCAGUGUAGCGGUGAAAUGCGUAGAUAUUGGGAGGAACACCAGUGGCGAAGGCGGCUCACUGGACCGGUACUGACGCUGAGGAGCGAAAGCGUGGGGAGCGAACAGG
rnacentral:rRNA from 1 species